UUCCAGAAGAAUCAAGAGUACGGCGCGAGCAUGGGGAAGCAAAAGAAAACAAGGAAAUAUGCGACCAUGAAGCGAAUGCUUAGUCUCCGAGAUGAGCGACUUAAAGAAAAGGAUAGGUUGAAGCCUAAGAAGAAAGAGAAGAAAGAUGCAAGUGCGCUGAAGGAAAGAGAAGUCCCUCAGCAUCCUUCCUGCUUGUUCUUCCAGUAUAAUACACAGCUGGGUCCUCCUUACCACAUCCUUGUCGAUACCAACUUCAUCAACUUUUCCAUUAAGGCCAAACUGGACUUAGUGCAGUCAAUGAUGGACUGUCUGUAUGCCAAGUGUAUCCCUUGUAUAACUGAUUGUGUAAUGGCUGAAAUUGAGAAAUUGGGACAGAAGUAUCGUUUGGCACUAAGAAUCGCCAAGGAUCCACGAUUUGACCGAUUGCCAUGCACACAUAAAGGAACCUACGCUGAUGACUGCUUGGUUCAUGACUCUGCCUGCAUUCGCAGAGGCCUGCAGGCACCAAGAACUGCCAAAUAA